GUUAUUAGCUUCUUCUUUCAACUACCAUAGGCGCCUCUGGAGCAGCUAGAUCUAUUCUUAUAAAAAGGACCUUGCUUGCCUAUAUGUAGUUAAAGUAUUCUUAUAAAAAGGACCUUGCUUGCCUAUAUGUAGUUAAAGUAUUCUUAUAAAAAGGACCUUGCUUGCCUAUAUGUAGUUAAAGUUUUGCAAUUACUGUAAUCUUUUGGAAUUGUAAAUAAACUUAACAAUCUGAAUAAAGGAUAUUAGGAAUGUUGCUUGUCC
rnacentral:lncRNA from 1 species